rnacentral:misc_RNA from 1 species
GUGAGAGAUCAGCCAAAGAGAAUUUAUCCCCUGCCGGAAACUGACUCUCUCCAAGCCUUUUCUCGUAAACAUAGAGCACUUUUCCCAGCUUCUCCUCGUUCUGCUUGAUAAAGCCUUGUUCUUGCGGGAUCUUCAUUCUGGGAGCAAAUGCAAGCUGAAAAACCAAAGCUCCGCUUGAUGGGUUAAAGCUCUGGCCCUCAGCUUCUAGCCACUAUCUAUUGAUGCUUUUGCCAGUGG